CAAUAGGAACCUGGGUCAGAGCUAAGUUAAACUCAGUACUCCCUCCUACCAGAGGCUGAUAGUCAAUGACGGGCAAUUUUCUCUUGAUAGCUUCCAGCCUAUGGGGAAACCCCAGGUAUCUGGAUUUAAAGGAGAGAAUGGGAAUUGACUGAUAGAAAUGAUUGAGAUGCUUAAGGAAAAACUUGACAGAGACACAGAAGAGAACCUCCUAUCAAUAACAGUGGAUCCCUGAACCAAUUGGUAGACAAGAAAAUAGAAGUUAGAGAAGAUUCAGACUCGGGGAGAUCACUGAGGACCUGCCUAACUGCCACUGCCACUGCCUCCGCUGUCACCUCCUCCCCCCUCCAGCAAGACCAGGAGAUCGAGAGCAUGCUCAUGUCCCUUGCCUCUGCUGGACCUCCACACUGCUACCGCUGCCGACAUGUUUGCCGCCAUGUUUCUUCAC